UGCCAAUUCCUUGGACUUCAUCAUUGAUACUGCGUCCGGUGAUCACGCCUUCGAUCCUUAUAUGUCACUCCUCAAGGUUUUUGGUACGAUGGUCCUAGUGGGCUUUCCUACUGAAAUCCGACUACAUCCUGCAAGCCUUAAUAUCGGUGCGAAAUCUCUUUCGGGGAGUUUAACUGGAGGUACCAAACUCACACAAGAAAUGCUGGAUUUCUG
rnacentral:misc_RNA from 1 species